rnacentral:rRNA from 1 species
AUUGAACGCUGGCGGCAGGCCUAACACAUGCAAGUCGAGCGAGCGGCGGACGGGUGAGUAAUGUCUGGGAAACUGCCUGAUGGAGGGGGAUAACUACUGGAAACGGUAGCUACUACCGCAUACCAUCCGAUGUGCCCAGGUGGGCUUAGCUAGUAGGUGGGGUAACGGCUCACAUAGGCGACGCUCCCUAGCUGGUCUGAGAGGAUGACCAGCAACACUGGAACUGAGCCAAGGCCCGGACUCCUACGGGAGGCAGUAUUGGGGAAUAUUGCGCAAUGGGGUCAACCCUGACGCAGCCAUGCCGCGUGAAUGAAGAAGGCCGUCGGGUCGUAAAGGUCGUUUGGUGACGAGGCGUUAAUCACAGAAGAAGCACCGGCUAACUCCCUGCCAGCAGCCGCGGUAAUUC